GACGUAGGGCGCGAGCGUUGUCCGGAUUUAUUGGGCGUAAAGAGCUCGUAGGCGGCUUGUCGCGUCGACUGUGAAAACCCGCGGCUCAACUGCGGGCUUGCAGUCGAUACGGGCAGGCUAGAGUUCGGUAGGGGAGACUGGAAUUCCUGGUGUAGCGGUGAAAUGCGCAGAUAUCAGGAGGAACACCGGUGGCGAAGGCGGAUCUCUGGGCCUUACCUGGACGCUGGAGGAGCGAAAGCCAUGGGGAGCAAAACAGG
rnacentral:rRNA from 1 species